rnacentral:misc_RNA from 1 species
GGCUGGCGUGCGUGGUGGAGGCGACUGCUCCCGACCCUCACACCCUCUGGCACACACGCACGCACAUGCACACGCCAGGCCUGACCCAGCGUUUGGCGGUGCGUGAGGCAAAGUGUGAGGUGCCGUGCCGUGGUUGUCCUGAGUCGCUCUGGUGCGUGGCAAUGUCCGCAUCGAGGCGCUUCUAGGAGAGACAGAGACACAGAAGAGAGAGAGAGAGAGAGAAAGAGAGAUCCCGCCGUUGUCUGACUCGAGGAACGGGGCAAGCAAGAAGAACCUAUCUCAUCUCACAACGCGUCCUGCGGAGAGGCACGCACGCCACGAUCAGCUCACUACCAGCUCACCACUCACCUCACUGACGCAACAUCGUGGCUAAUCGGGAAGAAACUACCACAAAACCAACAUCACCAAGCUCACUCCUCACAAGAACUCACCACCAUCCAUUACCCAAGGCCUCCCAUCACCUUUUAGUCACCUGAACCAACCCAGCACUAAAUCCUCCCAGCCAUUCAAUAGUUACCCUCUUCAGCAGGCCAGCAGACGCCUCGCAACGUACCCAGCGUAGUAAUCCUUCACACGUGGGCGAUAGAGGCUGAACGGGACGCGGCUGUGAGCUGAAAGAAAAAGGGGACUGAAAAGGGAAAGUGAGGAUGAGACUGUGGGUAGCGGUGACGGUGGUGGUCGGGGUGUUGGCGGUGGUGGCGGAGGAGGUGGAUGCUGCCAGGAAACGUUCACGCGCUCAUAGGAAGAGGCACAACAGAAGAAAAGAGCCUGGAGAUGGUCGAGGCCGCCCGUACGCCCAGCACCACUAUGGCCGCCCACGCCCGCGCCCGUACGGCUCCAGACGCCACCCAAACUCCCUGCUCGGUCCCACUCAUGGUGGGAUGUCACAGUUAGCGGGCGGCGGUUUGGGCGGCACGGCGGGGCUGGAUCUGUCGGGAUUGGAUCUUGGGGAGUUGGGCGGUAACCUUUAUUCAGAGUGGAGUAACUGGUCCCGCUGCUCCCGACGCUGCAGGCAGAGGCGGCGCAGGUCAUGUCGUGUCCCCGUCGUGUGUGGCGCCGCCGUUCAGAAGGAGGAGAGAAACUGCUCCGGGGAGAGGUGCUCGGGACGGCGGCCUUUCCACAUCAUCAGGCCGGAGGAGUUCUCAAUGCAGUCUCCCAGGAAUGAUAUGCGGGUUCUCCUCAACUUCAAUUCCAUGUUCUACACCCGCUGGUCCCGCUGGUCACCCUGCAGCAGGUCGUGUCUCACCCGCCGGCACAGGUCGUGCAAGUACCCGCUGUUCUGUGGAGGCAGCGUGGUGCACGAGGAGGCCUAUUGCUACGUGGAGGGGUCAUUAUGUGAAAAAUGGUACCGCCGCAGCCGCCACCCGCACUCACGCAGAAGGAAGAUAGCGGAUGUGAGCACCUCCCCCUCGCCGUCCACCGCCCCGUCGCCGCCUUCCUCAGACAGGUCGCUGCCCCGGGAGUGUGGCAUCAGCAACGUCACCAGCCCGGCGUGGAGUCUACGCAUCAUUGGGGGCAGGAUGGCGCAGCCCGGCGAGUGGCCCUGGCAGGUGGUCAUCCUUAACCGCUAUCAUGAGGCGUUCUGCGGCGGGACGCUGGUUGCCCCUCGCUGGGUGAUGACGGCGGCCCACUGCGUCAGGAGAAAGCUUUACGUGCGCCUCGGGGAGCACGACCUGGCGGUGCAAGAGGGACCUGAAAUAGAGUACAAGGUGGCGCGAGCCGUCAUCCACCCCAUGUAUGACUCAACCACGGUGGACAACGACGUGGCGCUGCUGCUGCUGCCGGAGCCCGUGGAGCCCGGGCCGCGGGUGUCGCCAGCCUGCGUGCCGGAGCAAGGUGCGGAGCUGCCCGUGGGAGAGUCCUGCACUAUCAUCGGCUGGGGCAAAGAACGCAACACUCACAUCUUUGGCACCGACGUCCUUCACGAGGCUGAGGUACCCAUCAUCGACAACCAGGUGUGUGAGGCUGUUUACGAGGACUACUACAUCACGUCCAACAUGUUCUGCGCAGGAUACAAACGUGGCAGAGUUGAUUCCUGUGCAGGAGACUCUGGGGGCCCGCUGCUGUGUCACCGCCAAGGCCGCUGGUACAUUUAUGGCAUCACGUCCUUUGGUGAGGGGUGCGGGAAACGAGGAAAGUUUGGGAUCUACGCGCGGGUUUCCAACUACAGGAAUUGGGUACAGUCUGUGAUCGCCUCUAGCUUCACCUGAGUCUCAGCCCAACCUAACUUCGCCCCACCACUGUCACCUGAGGGAGGACGUGAUGCGCAUCUGUGGUCUUGGCCUGGACGUGUUACUCAUUGAAUUAAGACGUGUAGUGCAAAUCAGGAUCUACAGUUAUCAAGGCCUGUAUUUUGAAGCGCUCUGUUCCCUGGAACCUAAUUGAUUCGACUGACUUAACGGUGGUUCAAACGCUUCGAGUCACUUAAAACACGGAUUCAAACGCAAGAGACGUGAGGCCAGCGACAAAGUGGAGACCACUUUCUUACCAGCUCUGGUAUCGAGGACAGCUACCAGCGUCCAGCCGAGAAUCCCCAUCCUGCUGCAGGAAACUGGCUGGUGUGUCCAGCCGAGAAUCCCCAUCCUGCUGCAGGAAACUGGCUGGUGUUGGUGUCCAGCCGAGAAUCCCCAUCCUGCUGCAGGAAACUGGCUGGUGUUGGUGUCCAGCCGAGAAUCCCCAUCCUGCUGCAGGAAACUGGCUGGUGUUGGUGUCCAGCCGAGAAUCCCCAUCCUGCUGCAGGAACUGGCUGGUGUUGGUGUCCAGCCGAGAAUCCCCAUCCUGCUGCAGGAAACUGGCUGGUGUUGGUGUCCAGCCGAGAAUCCCCAUCCUGCUGCAGGAAACUGGCUGGUGUUGUCCAGCCGAGAAUCCCCAUCCUGCUGCAGGAAACUGGCUGGUGUUGGUGUCCAGCCGAGAAUCCCCAUCCUGCUGCAGGAAACUGGCUGGUGUUGGUGUCCAGCCGAGAAUCCCCAUCCUGCUGCAGGAAACUGGCUGGUGUUGCACUAGAAUAUUAGAACUCCGCUAAACCUUGCAGGGAAGAGGACCCCUACUUCGUUCCUCUACGCUCUUGGCAGUGGCUGUCAUUACUGUUGCCAAUGUGUUAAUGUUAUUGGUUAGUCCUGUGAAUGUACCUGCUUAGAUGUUCUAAUAAACUAUGUAAUUGAA